rnacentral:rRNA from 1 species
GACGAACCGAGCGAACGUUGUUCGGAAUCACUGGGCUUAAAGGGCGCGUAGGCGGGUCUCUCAGUCUGCGGUGAAAUCCUCCAGCUCAACUGGAGAAGUGCCGUGGAUACUGGAGACCUCGAGGGGGGUAGGGGCAUCUGGAACUGCCGGUGGAGCGGUGAAAUGCGUUGAUAUCGGCAGGAACUCCGGUGGCGAAGGCGAGGUGCUGGACCCCAUCUGACGCUGAGGCGCGAAAGCCAGGGGAGCGAACGGG